rnacentral:rRNA from 1 species
UACGGAGGGUGCAAACGUUGCUCGGAAUCAUUGGGCGUAAAGCGCACGUAGGCGGCCCGGUAAGUCGGAUGUGAAAGCCCUCGGCUCAACUGAGGAAGUGCAUUCGAAACUGCUGGACUUGAGUACGGGAGAGGGAUGCGGAAUUCCCGGUGUAGAAGUGAAAUGCGUAGAUAUCGGGAGGAACACCAGUGGCGAAGGCGGCCCUCUGGCGCGGAACUGACGCUGAGGCGCGAAAGCGUGGGUAGCAAAUAGG